rnacentral:ncRNA from 1 species
UCCGAUAGAGGCGCGGUUUUGAAAAGUAGCGUGACAUUAUGCACGGAACGGUACACGCAAAAGGCAAAAUCGCCGAAACGGGAUAAAAGGUUCCGAUAUUAUCCUGUUGGGGCGUAGGAGAAUAUCCUGCGGACUGUCACUUGGAGUGGAGAGCUAUCGUA